rnacentral:rRNA from 1 species
GAUGAACGCUGGCGGCGUGCCUAAUACAUGCAAGUCGAGCGAACAGACGAGGAUCUUGCUCCUCUGACGUUAGCGGCGGACGGGUGAGUAACACGUGGAUAACCUACCUAUAAGACUGGGAUAACUUCGGGAAACCGGAGCUAAUACCGGAUAAUAUAUUGAACCGCAUGGUUCAAUAGUGAAAGACGGUGUUGCUGUCACUUAUAGAUGGAUCCGCGCCGCAUUAGCUAGUUGGUAAGGUAACGGCUUACCAAGGCAACGAUGCGUAGCCGACCUGAGAGGGUGAUCGGCCACACUGGAACUGAGACACGGUCCAGAGUCCUACGGGAGGCAGCAGUAGCGAAUCUUCCGCAAUGGGCGAAAGCUUGACGGAGCAACGCCGCGUGAGUGAUGAAGGUCUUCGGAUCGUAAAACUCUGUUAUUAGGGAAGAACAAAUGUGUAAGUAACUAUGCACGUCUUGACGGUACCUGAUCAGAAAGCCACGGCUAACUACGUG